rnacentral:rRNA from 1 species
AUUGAACGCUGGCGGCAGGCCUAACACAUGCAAGUCGAGCGGAUGAAGGGAGCUUGCUCCUGGAUUCAGCGGCGGACGGGUGAGUAAUGCCUAGGAAUCUGCCUGGUCGUGGGGGAUAACGUCCGGAAACGGGCGCUAAUACCGCAUGCGUCCUGAGGGCGAAGGUGGGGGGUCUUCCGACCUCACGCUAUCAGAUGAGCCUAGGUCGGUUUCACUAGUUGGUGGGGUAAAGGCCUAGCAAGGCGACGAUGCGUAACUGGUCUGAGGGCAUGGCCAGUCACACUGGAAGUGAGACACGGUCCAGACUCCUACGGGAGGCAGCAGUGGGGAAUAUUAGACGAUGGACGAAAGGCUGAUCCAGCCAUGCCGCGUGAGUGAAGAAGGUCUUCGGAUGGGUAAGCGCUGUAAGUUGUGGGGAAGGGCAGUAAGUUAAGCCCUGACUGUAUUGACGGUACCAGCAGAAGAAGCACCGGCUAACUUCGUG